UACGUAGGGUGCAAGCGUUGUCCGGAAUUAUUGGGCGUAAAGAGCUCGUAGGCGGUUUGUCGCGUCUGCUGUGAAAUUUCGGGGCUCAACCCCGAACUUGCAGUGGGUACGGGCAGACUAGAGUGUGGUAGGGGAGACUGGAAUUCCUGGUGUAGCGGUGAAAUGCGCAGAUAUCAGGAGGAACACCGAUGGCGAAGGCAGGUCUCUGGGCCAUAACUGACGCUGAGAAGCGAAAGCAUGGGGAGCGAACAGG
rnacentral:rRNA from 1 species